rnacentral:rRNA from 1 species
AGAUUGAACGCUGGCGGCAUGCCUAACACAUGCAAGUCGAACGGGAGUAGCAAUACUCUAGUGGCGGACGGGUGAGGAAUACGUAGGAAUUUGCCCUUAAGUGGGGGAUAACCCGGGGAACCCGGAUUAAUACCGCAUGACCUCGAAAGAGCAAAGUGGGGGAUCGCAAGACCUCACGCUUUUGGAGAAGCCUACGUCGGAUUAGCUAGUUGGUGAGGUAAUGGCUCACCAAGGCGACGAUCCGUAACUGGUCUGAGAGGAUGAUCAGUCACACCGGAACUGAGACACGGUCCGACUCCUACGGGAGCAGCAGUGGGGAAUAUUGGACAAUGGG